rnacentral:rRNA from 1 species
CUAACGCAUUAAGCACUCCGCCUGGGGAGUACGACCGCAAGGUUGAAACUCAAAGGAAUUGACGGGGGCCCGCACAAGCGGUGGAGCAUGUGGUUUAAUUCGAAGCAACGCGAAGAACCUUACCAGGUCUUGACAUCCUUUGACCACUCUGGAGACAGAGCUUUCCCUUCGGGGACAAAGUGACAGGUGGUGCAUGGUUGUCGUCAGCUCGUGUCGUGAGAUGUUGGGUUAAGUCCCGCAACGAGCGCAACCCUUGAUUUUAGUUGCCAGCAUUUAGUUGGGCACUCUAAAGUGACUGCCGGUGCAAGCCGGAGGAAGGUGGGGAUGACGUCAAAUCAUCAUGCCCCUUAUGACCUGGGCUACACACGUGCUACAAUGGAUA